rnacentral:rRNA from 1 species
CCAGUGACUUAGUUAAACGGCCGCGGUAUCCUGACCGUGCGAAGGUAGCAUAAUCACUUGUUCUUUAAAUAAGGACUAGUAUCAACGGCAUCACGAGGGUUAUACUGUCUCCUCUCUCCAAUCAGUGAAACUGAUCUCCCCGUGAAGAAGCGGGGAUAAAUCUAUAAAACAAGAAAACCCCAUGGAGCUUUAAACUCAACAACAACUUCCCCCACAAAAUUCUACAUACUAAGGAAAACCUGCUUGUUAGUUUUAGGUUGGGGUGACCGCGGAAAAAAACUAAACCUCCACGACAAACGGAAUUAACUCCUAAUCUAAAAGCCACCGCUCUAAAAAUCAAUAAAUUGACAUAAACUGAUCCGAUAAUCGAUCAACGGACCAAGUUACCCUGGGGAUAACAGCGCAAUCCAUUUCAAGAGCCCCUAUCGACAAAUGGGUUUACAACCUCGAUGUUGGAUCAGGGUAUCCCAGUGGUGCAGCCGCUACUAAAGGUUUGUUUGUUCAACAAUUAAAACCCUACGUGAU